rnacentral:rRNA from 1 species
AUUGAACGCUGGCGGCAUGCCUUACACAUGCAAGUCGAACGGCAGCACGGACUUCGGUCUGGUGGCGAGUGGCGAACGGGUGAGUAAUGUAUCGGAACGUACCUUUCAGUGGGGGAUAACGUAGCGAAAGUUACGCUAAUACCGCAUAUUCUGUGAGCAGGAAAGCAGGGGAUCGCAAGACCUUGCGCUGAUUGAGCGGCCGAUAUCAGAUUAGCUAGUUGGUGAGGUAAAGGCUCACCAAGGCGACGAUCUGUAGCGGGUCUGAGAGGAUGAUCCGCCACACUGGAACUGAGACACGGUCCAGACUCCUACGGGAGGCAGCAGUGGGGAAUUUUGGACAAUGGGGGCAACCCUGAUCCAGCCAUGCCGCGUGAGUGAAGAAGGCCUUCGGGUUGUAAAGCUCUUUCGGCCGGGAAGAAAUCGCAUAGGUUAAUACCCUGUGUGGAUGACGGUACCGGAAUAAGAAGCACCGGCUAACUACGUGCCAGCCGCCGCCGUAAUAC